CAAGCGAACCCAAAGAAAAGAAAAGAGAAAUGCUGAGCCUUGGCACGGUUAGUUUUCUCCAAAGCUCAUAUAUUUAAUCCCAGAAUCAAGCUUCCCCGCCAUCCAAAUCCGCCACAAUUGUCCCAUUUCAGUUCUCGCACCCUCCAUCAAAAUGACACGGUCAUCUGUAGUAAUGAUGGCGAAGAGAGAAGAAGAAUUGAAGGAAAUAAUAAGGGCUAAGACUACUGAGAAAUUAACGAAGAGGUUAUUGAUCUUAAAGGUGAACUCUUGAUGCUUCGCCUUCAGAAAUCUACACGCAAUGAGUUUAAGUCCAGUGAGUUUCGCCGUAUGCGCAGAAGGUGUUGGAGUUGCAGUAUGCUGGAUUUUGGUGGUAUACUGUUACCUUCGUCGCAACAUGGAAUAAUGCUUUUGUAAAUGCUGUUAUUCUUGCCAUGCCUGCCAUCUAGUAAUCAGGUUCAUUUGACUUGUUAAGCCUUUGACUUUGAAGAAUGAUGAGCCUUUUCGCUGUGAAGUUUGUUGUUGAUGCUUCAUCUUACAUAUGGGAGUAGGCUAAAGUAGUACCCUCCCUCGGGGGUGUUCCAUGGAUCACAUAUUGCUCGCAUGCUUACUGUUAAGCGGGAAAGAGAGAUAGAGGAAGGUGUCGGCAAGAGGCUGUCAAGAAAGCUGGACAGGCAAUGGAAGAGAAGCAUUGUUGUUUGACCACCUCCAUCUUCGAAGAAAUUGCAAGAGGAAGAGGCAGCUGCAGAAGCUAAGAAAUCUGCUUGAGCCAAAUUCGAUAUAUAAUUCCUCAAGGAAUAUGGUGUGCUUUCAUGACAUAGGAGCAUUCUCCGUAACUGAUUGCUUACUUUUGUUGACAGUUCUGUUGCUUCUCUUGUUUGUUCACCCUGUAUUGUCCUAGACUUCUUUUCAUUAGCAAAGCACUGAUUAGUUUAAUAGCCAGCUUGAAUAUGAUUGGAGCAACCAAGUUCUACUCAUCCAUGAAAAUUUAAAAUUCAGUAAAAGACUACUCGGUGUAAUUUUUGCAGGCUUUGCUCAAGCAAUUUUAAUUUUAAUUUUAUUUUAUUGUUUUU